UGCCAGACUCCUACGGAGGCAGCAGUGGGGGAUAUUGCACAAUGGGGGGAACCCUGAUGCAGCGACGCCGCGUGGGUGAAGGAGUGCUUCGGCAUGUAAAGCCCUAUCAGCAGGGAAGAAAUAGCGACCUUUGGGUCGCCAGACGGUACCUGAUUAAGAAGCCCCGGCUAACUACGUGCCAGCAGCCGCGGUAAUACGUAGGGGGCAAGCGUUAUCCGGAUUUACUGGGUGUAAAGGGAGCGUAGACGGCAGCGCAAGUCUGAAGUGAAAUGCCGGGGCUUAACCCCGGAACUGCUUUGGAAACUGUGCAGCUAGAGUGCAGGAGAGGUAAGUGGAAUUCCUAGUGUAGCGGUGAAAUGCGUAGAUAUUAGGAGGAACACCAGUGGCGGAGGCGGCUUACUGGACUGUAACUGACGUUGAGGCUCGAAAGCGUGGGGAGCAAACAGGAUUAGAUACCCUCGUAAG
rnacentral:rRNA from 1 species